CCUACGGGUGGCAGCAGUGAGGAAUAUUGGUCAAUGGACGAGAGUCUGAACCAGCCAAGUAGCGUGAAGGAUGACUGCUCUAUGGGUGGUAAACUUUUUUUAUAUGGGAAUAAAACGUUCCACGUGUGUGAGUUUGUAUGGACCAUAUGAAGAAGGAUCGGCUAACUCCGUGCCAGCAGCCGCGGUAAUACGGAGGAACCGAGCGUUAUCCGGAUUUAUUGGGUUUAAAGGGAGCGUAGGUGGAUUGUUAAGUCAGUUGUGAAAGUUUGCGGCUCAACCGUAAAAUUGCAGUUGAAACUGGCAGUCUUGAGUACAGUAGAGGUAGGCGGAAUUCGUGGUGUAGCGGUGAAAUGCUUAGAUAUCACGAAGAACUCCGAUUGCGAAGGCAGUUCACUGGACUGCAACUGACACUGAGGCUCGAAAGUGUGGGUAUCAAACAGGAUUAGAUACCCCGGUAGUC
rnacentral:rRNA from 1 species